rnacentral:rRNA from 1 species
UGGGGAAUAUUGCACAAUGGGCGAAAGCCUGAUGCAGCGACGCCGCGUGAGGGAUGACGGCCUUCGGGUUGUAAACCUCUUUCAGCAGGGAAGAAGCGAAAGUGACGGUGCCUGCAGAAGAAGCGCCGGCUAACUACGUGCCAGCAGCCGCGGUAAUACGUAGGGCGCAAGCGUUGUCCGGAAUUAUUGGGCGUAAAGAGCUCGUAGGCGGUUAGUCGCGUCUGCUGUGAAAACUCGAGGCUCAACCUCGGGCUUGCAGUGGGUACGGGCUGACUAGAGUGCGGUAGGGGUGACUGGAAUUCCUGGUGUAGCGGUGGAAUGCGCAGAUAUCAGGAGGAACACCGAUGGCGAAGGCAGGUCACUGGGCCGCAACUGACGCUGAGGAGCGAAAGCAUGGGGAGCGAACAGGAUUAGAUACCCUGGUAGUCCAUGCCGUAAACGUUGGGCACUAGGUGUGGGGUCCAUUCCACGGAUUCCGUGCCGCAGCAAACGCAUUAAGUGCCCCGCCUGGGGAUGUACGGCCGCAAGGCUAAACUCAAUGAA